UCAGCAUCUCGGCCUUUUUGGCUAAGAUCAAAAAGUAAGCACAUUUUAGGCACCAAAGGGAGAGUGGGUUUGGCCCUCCUGGUGCUGGCCUGGUAUUGCAGUACUUCCAGGACCAGUGCCAGUUCC
rnacentral:snRNA from 1 species